rnacentral:rRNA from 1 species
UACGUAGGGGGCUAGCGUUGUCCGGAAUCAUUGGGCGUAAAGAGCGUGUAGGCGGCCAGACAGGUCCGUUGUGAAAACUCGAGGCUCAACCUCGAGACGCCGAUGGAAACCAGUGUGCUAGAGUCCGGAAGAGGAGAGUGGAAUUCCUGGUGUAGCGGUGAAAUGCGCAGAUAUCAGGAAGAACACCCGUGGCUAAGGCGGCUCUCUAGUACGGUACUGACGCUGAGACGCGAAAGCGUGGGGAGCGAACAGG